ACAUGGUUUGUGGUUGUCCUGGGCUGGCGUGGUUACACGUGGUCUGUGGUUGUGGAGGUCCUGGGCUGGCAUGGUUACACAUGGUUUGUGGUUGUCCUGGGCUGGCGUGGUUACACGUGGUCUGUGGUUGUGGAGGUCCUGGGCUGGCGUGGUUACACGUGGUCUGCGGUUGUGGAGGUUCUGGGCUGGCAUGGUUACACAUGGUUUGUGGUUGUCCUGGGCUGGCGUGGUUACACGUGGUCUGUGGUUGUGGAGGUCCUGGGCUGGCGUGGUUACACGUGGUCUGCGGUUGUGGAGGUCCUGGGCUGGCGUGGUUAAACGUGGUCUGCGGUUGUGGAGGUCCUGGGCUGGCGUGGUUACACGUGGUCUGCGGUUGUGGAGGUCCUGGGCUGGCGUGGUUACACGUGGUCUGCGGUUGUGGAGGUCCUGGGCUGGCGUGGUUAAACGUGGUCUGCGGUUGUGAGGCUGGUUGGACAUACUGGCAAAUUCUCUAAAAUGACAUUGGAGAUGUCUUAUUUACCUUUAUUUAACUAGGCAAGUCAGUUAAGAACAAAUUCUUAUUUUCAAUGACGGCCUAGGAACAGUGGGUUAACUGCCUGUUCAGGGGAAGAACCACAGAUUUGUACCUUGUCAGCUCGAGGAUUUGAACUUGCAGUCUUUCGGUUACUAGUCCAACGCUCUAACCACUAGGCUACCCUGGCUGGCAACAGCUCUGGUGUACGUUCCUGCAGUUAGCAUGCCAAUUGCAUGGUCCCUUAAAACUUGAGACAUCUGUGCCAUUGUGUUGUGUGACAAAACUGCACAUUUUAGAUUGGCCUUUUAUUGUCUCCUGCACAAGGUGCACCUGUGUAAUGAUCAUGCUGUUUAACAAUCUUCUUUAUAUGCCACACCUGUCAGGUGGAUGUAUUAUCUUGACAAAUGCUCACUAACAGGGAUGUAAACAAAUGUGUGCACAAAAUUGGAGAGAAAUAAGCUUUUUGUGCAAAUGGAACAUUUCUGGGAUUUUUUAUUUCAGCUCAUGAAACACUUUACAUGUUGCAUUUAUAUUUUUGUUCAGUAUAGUUGGAAAGAGAGCCCAGAAUUAUGUUGACCUCUUUAACUCAUAGGAAGUCCCACCAAGUUGACUACAUACCCUUCAAUGGCGCUGCUAGUGCUGAGUGAUUAGUGCUUUUUGAGGUCGGUUCGGUUUCGGUUAGAUAAGAAAAUAAUCAAGUAUUUUUUACAUUAAAUGCGCUAUUCAUAAUGUGGGUUGAAUACUGUAACAACACAGAAUAAAACAAAUGAAUAAAAGUCC